rnacentral:rRNA from 1 species
GAUGAACGCUAGCGACAGGCCUAACACAUGCAAGUCGAGGGGCAGCGCGGAGCAAGCUUGCUUGUUCUGGCGGCGACCGGCGCACGGGUGCGUAACAGGUGUGCAAUCUGUCCAUAAUCGGGGAAUAGCCCAGCGAAAGUUGGAUUAAUGCUCCAUGUGAGCUUGAGAGGCAUCUCUCGGGUUUGAAACGCAAGGAUUAUGGGUGAGCACGCUUCUGAUUAGGUAGUUGGUGAGGUAACGGCUCACCAAGCCGACGAUCAGUAGGGGUUCUGAGAGGAAGGUCCCCCACAUUGGAACUGAGACACGGUCCAAACUCCUACGGGAGGCAGCAGUGAGGAAUAUUGGUCAAUGGGCGAAAGCCUGAACCAGCCAAGUCGCGUGAAGGAUGAAGGUUCUAUGGAUUGUAAACUUCUUUUGUCUGAGGGUAAAAAAGCGGACGUGUCCGUUCUUGCAAGUAUCAGACGAAUAAGCAUCGGCUAACUCCGUGCCAGCCGCCGCCGUAAUAC